CCUGCCCGCAUCUCGGUGGGAAAACGGGGGCAAUAAAUCAGGGCCGGCGAAGGCAGGACACCGCUCCGGCUUCCGAACAACAACUUGCUGCGAGACCUGUUACUUCCCCCACCUGGCCCCGUUCUUCCCCCUCCCUGGCGCUCACGCCUCCUCCCUUCUCCCGGCUGCGCCGCACCGAGCUCCCCUCGACGUUGCUCACGUGCCAGACCCGGGGCCGCGAGCGCCGUCGGCACCCGCGCGCACACCCAGCCCCUCGAACACUCGCCCGGCCGCGGGGCGCGCUGCUUACCUCCGGGGCCUCAUGGUCGCGUUGCUCGCUCGGGCAGAGCGGGGGAGAGGGUACCUUGGAAUGACCCACUUACCUGGAAUCACUGCUUCAAAUGUCGAGCCUGGAGACUGGGAACAGAGACAAGUAGUAGCCUCCAGCCAUGCUUUUAGAAGACAGUUUCAAGUCAGGUAUGGGUAUUAGUACAAUUGUAUUGAGACAUAUUUAGAAUAUGUAUGAGUAUGUAUUGUGACUGUGUAGCAGAGAGUUUUGCUUUUUUUUUUUAUUUUUGCU
ensembl:lncRNA